rnacentral:rRNA from 1 species
GGGUGUAAAGGGUGCGUAGGCGGGUUUUAAGUCAGGGUGAAAUCCUGGAGCUCAACUCCAGAACUGCCUUUGAUACUGAAGAUCUUGAGUCCGGGAGAGGUGAGUGGAACUGCGAGUGUAGAGGUGAAAUUCGUAGAUAUUCGCAAGAACACCAGUGGCGAAGGCGGCUCACUGGCCCGGUACUGACGCUGAGGCACGAAAGCGUGGGAGCAAACAGGAUUAGAUACCCUGGUAGUCCACGCCGUAAACGAUGAAUGCCAGCCGUUAGUGGUUACUCACUAGUGGCGCAGCUAACGCUUUAAGCAUUCCGCCUGGGAGUACGGUCGCAAGAUUAAAACU